CUGUCACCUGCGAAGUGGCUUCAUCCCUUCUGCCUCAGCAGGCGCUGGAUGGGGCGAGGACAGCAGGGAGCAGAGCAGCACCCACUGGGACAGCAGGUAGGGAUGGAGCUGACCCUAAUGCAUCUCCUCUCCUGGUGACGGCUCUUUACUGACAGAGCUUUGUGCUUGAAGGUGCCUGCAGGGUGCAGGGGCGACCUCUGCUCCAGUGAAGCAAGAGCCAGCCUUGUCUGGGACAGCCAGGGGAUGCUGGGACACAACUUGGAGACUAGCUGAGACUUCAGGAAGAAUAUAUUUUUUUUGGUGGAGCUAUUUUACCAAAGGGGAUUAUUCUGCUAAUUGAUUUAAUAUAGUUAAUUUGAGGCUGGGAGCUGCACUAAUCUGUGCUGAGGGCGCCAGCAGCAUGAGGUCUGUGCUUGUGUGAGCCGGGCUGCAGGACAGCACAAACAUCUUGCAUCCUCCUCUCUGCUGCGACAGACCCUCUGGCGAACUGCAGAAAGUGGUAGGAGCCUGGAGGGGGCUGCUCAGGGCAGAGCUUUUAUCUAGAGAAAGAGGAGCUAAGAAAAAGGUAGUGCUGUAAGGGCAAGGUGUGCAGGAGCGUGGUCUGUGGUAU